GGGAGUAAGAACGGCCAGUAAAAAGUACUUGAAAACCCGCUGCCUUUCAAGUCGGCCGCUCGCAGUAUUAGCGUUAAUCCACCCAAACCAAGUUCAUUGAAGGAUAUGGGCGUCGAGCAACAGGAAACCAUCCUACGCUCCCAAGUAGGAUGCAGGGAUUCAUCCUGUAUGGACAGUAUUCCUGGCGACAAAUGUAGAAAAAAGAGGUGUAGAGGAUAAGGAAUAUCUUCACAUUGUAAGGGAUGUAUCUGUCCGGUACAUAAUCACAGUCGGUAAAAAAUACAUCUCUUGCACUCUGAAGAUGUUCCUUCUCAUUCAUACUUCAUUUUUCUACAUUCUUAUCGUAGUUCCCUUGCACAGGCACCCUCCAAACAGCUCUCUCUCAACCGGCCACGAAGGGCUUAACGACAGCAGCGAAACCUAGCCGUGGGAUUACUCCACAGGAUGAACCAGAUACACCAUAUGUUGCAGCAAACUUAUAUCAAAACAGCAGCUCCCAGUGAGGGUUUGGUUACUCGCUGAGAUCAACAACAGGAGGUGUUUGUUUCUGGGAAACUUAUGCCUAAUGACCAAGUGAUUUUUUGUGCCCAGAUUAACAAUUUUUAUUAUUUAUUUUUUAUUGAGUUCAUCUGCCUGCACUUGUUUAAAAGUAUGAUCUUAAAAAAAAUAUAUUUGAUCAGGUGAGAUUGUAAUUAUAAUAAUUUCAUCUUAAUGUUGUAGCUGAAAUUUAUCUUAGCAUUAUAACUGAAAUUUAUCCUAGUAUUGUACCUGAAAUUCAUCUAAAAAGUGAUGUCUUCUCUUUUCCUCUCGAGAGCGAACAUGCGAGAGGAAUGUGCUGAUCCCCGUGCAGCGCCAGUCACGGCCUCCUCCUCCUCCCUUCUCGGAACCACUAGGUAACGUAUUUCAGUGUGCCCGAGAAGUGGAUAUAUUUCAUCCUCGUGUCGAAAGAAGUGGUUCGUCUUCACCAGGAACUGAAAGAAAUUGCACAUCCUAGUAUGGGAUGUCGGGAUGUUUAAUGUUUAUCAAUGGAUAGGCAAUUUCCAUGUAUUUUUUUAAAUUAUUAUUCUUGCGAUCAUCGCUAUGCACACGGUUACUACCUUACCAUAAUGCUAUAAAAUCUAGUCUUGCCAUUAAAGCUACGAGAAUGA